rnacentral:ncRNA from 1 species
CCGUGGCACCGGCUAACUACGUGCCAGCAGCCGCGGUAAUACGUAGGGUGCAAGCGUUAUCCGGAUUUAUUGGGCGUAAAGGGCUCGUAGGCGGUUCGUCGCGUCUGGUGUGAAAGUCCAUCGCUUAACGGUGGAUCUGCGCCGGGUACGGGCGGGCUGGAGUGCGGCAGGGGAGACUGGAAUUCCCGGUGUAACGGUGGAAUGUGUAGAUAUCGGGAAGAACACCAAUGGCGAAGGCAGGUCUCUGGGCCGUUACUGACGCUGAGGAGCGAAAGCGUGGGGAGCGAACAGGAUUAGAUACCCUGGUAGUCCACGCCGUAAACGGUGGAUGCUGGAUGUGGGGCCCUUUCCACGGGUUCCGUGUCGGAGCUAACGCGUUAAGCAUCCCGCCUGGGGAGUACGGCCGCAAGGCUAAAACUCAAAGAAAUUGACGGGGGCCCGCACAAGCGGCGGAGCAUGCGGAUUAAUUCGAUGCAACGCGAAGAACCUUACCUGGGCUUGACAUGUUCCCGACGACCUCAGAGAUGGGGUUUCCCUUCGGGGCGGGUUCACAGGUGGUGCAUGGUCGUCGUCAGCUCGUGUCGUGAGAUGUUGGGUUAAGUCCCGCAACGAGCGCAACCCUCGCCCCGUGUUGCCAGCGCGUCAUGGCGGGAACUCACGGGGGAC